rnacentral:lncRNA from 1 species
AAGAAACUAUCACAAAUUUCACUUGCUCGGUCGAAUAUAUGGCUUCGGAAGACACAACACCCCCGAGUGAUUCACGACCAUUUUCUAGUUGAGGUUAGAAUUUCUUCACAAAUGGCCGUUUUGUAAUAAGAACAUGGGGAGAACUGUGAAAACCACGGAUGACGGAGUACGAUUUGUGGUGCAUAGCUUCGACUGAAGAUUUGUAGAGACAGACAGCCCUGAGUAAAAAUCUAUCCACGGUACCUAGUAGUCUCUAUAUCAGUGACGGUACCUAAUCGGGUUGGGCGUCAAUAUUGAAGAAACUUGACAAAAAAUAAAAC